AGAAAGUACAUCAUCUGUGGCUAUGGAAGAAGUGCCUGAAAGCUCUUAUGAAAGGACAUCGUCUGUGUCUAUGGAAGAAGUGCCUGAAAGCUCUCAUGUUUUACCGGACAGUUCUACAGAGACAACUGCUAAUACAAAAAGGAAACCAAAAAGGAAGUGGUCACAAGGAGAGGUCAAAUCAGUUAUGAAGCAUUUUAAGCACCACAUACUAAAAGGGAAAUUGGCCACUUAUGCCGAAUGUCACCAAUGCAAACUUGCUGAACAUCCAAUUUUAGAGAAUCGAAGUGUUCAAAAUAUUAGGGAUUUUGUGCGUAAUCGUGGAAUAACUUUAAAAAAACAGAAUCAGCAACAAUAAUUUUUAGUUAAUGUUGAUUGUCACUUUUUGUCUUCAACAGAUUUGUAUUUUAGAAUUAUGCCAUAACAUUCUUUUUCAUUCAUUAUUUCAUUCAUUAUAUUGGAGCAGUGCUUUUUUUAAAAAAAAGGCUUCAUAUAUCUUUUAAAGGGGUUUUAAAUGAUGCCUUAUUUUCCUUGUAAAUGGCAGUGAAGUUUUGGUUAUUGUGAAUUAGAUUUAAGUAAAAGAAUGUUACAAUAAGUUGUUUUGAAAAGGCAGAUUGUGUUUAUUGAAACUCUUCUUUAAACCUCACAGUACAGCAUGCUUUUUUUUUUUUAAGGAUUGAUAUAUCUUUUAAAGGGGUUUUAAGUGAUGCCUUAUUUUCCUUGUAAAUGGCAGUGAAGUUUUGGUUAUUGUGAAUUAGAUUUAAGUAAAAGAAUGUUACAAUAAGUUGAUGUGUAAGUUGUUUUGAAAAGGCAGAUUGUGUUUAUUGAAACACUUCUUUAAACCUC